rnacentral:rRNA from 1 species
GACGAACGAGGGAGGAGGGAAGAAUACAUGCAAGUAGAACGCUGAAGAGAGGAGCUUGCUCUUCUUGGAUGAGUUGCGAACGGGUGAGUAACGCGUAGGUAACCUGCCUUGUAGCGGGGGAUAACUAUUGGAAACGAUAGCUAAUACCGCAUAACAAUGGAUGACACAUGUCAUUUAUUUGAAAGGGGCAAUUGCUCCACUACAAGAUGGACCUGCGUUGUAUUAGCUAGUAGGUGAGGUAAUGGCUCACCUAGGCGACGAUACAUAGCCGACCUGAGAGGGUGAUCGGCCACACUGGGACUGAGACACGGCCCAGACUCCUACGGGAGGCAGCAGUAGGGAAUCUUCGGCAAUAGGGGCAACCCUGACCGAGCAACGCCGCGUGAGUGAAGAAGGUUUUCGGAUCGUAAAGCUCUGUUGUAAGUCAAGAACGGGUGUGAGAGUGGAAAGUUCACACUGUGACGGUAGCUUACCAGAAAGGGACGGCUAACUACGUG